UGUAUACUUUAUUUGUUUAUGUGCUGGCACAGGUACUGGAGACAGUGAACCACUCACUUCUUCAGCCAUGUGUUCCAAUGAAUUGGGUGAGUUACCCUGCUGAAGUCCAGUGCGAAGCAUUGAAACAAGGAAAUGAAUUUUUGAAUUGCCAAGAGAAAGAAAGGAAUUCAAGGCCAAAGUGAACACUAAAGCUGGAAAUGCUUCUGAUUUGCUGGAGAACAAAAUGCUAUAGCAUUUCUGGGUACUGGGAAAUGACGUGGACAAAAUACCAGCAGGAAUUUCUUCAUCUACUUCAGCGCCUAUGUGGCAGUCACUUAAAAUUAUGUCAGCUGGCUGAUGUGGAUUGGACUAGUGGGCCAAAGAGAAGAAAGUGGGCUUUCUAAUUCGGGAAAAGGAAAUUGUACCCUAGGCAGGAGAAGCAACCAAGUACAGCUGCAUAGAGGAAAAAGAAGGACAUUAACUCAGCUGGAAAAAGAGAGAAGGAAUAUUGCAGAGAGAUAUACACAGAAAACCAAGUACCCAUAAGAGGAUAUCCACGAGAAAAGGAGGAGGACGAAAGCAUACUUUGAUUCUACUUCUUCUUUUUCUUCUAUCUUUUCCUUUUCUGUAGUAUAUACUCUUAAUUCUAUAUUUUGUGAAACUGCAGUAUUAGUCAUGGAUGAACAAACUCUGUUUUGGAUUGUAAUUACUGGUUUGAACAUGAGCUAAACCUUUUGAGAUUUGAAUAGCUAUGAACCCCUAUGCUUUGAAUUAAUUAAUCUUGAUGCAUGACUUUAGUAAA